UACGUAGGGCGCAAGCGUUGUCCGGAAUUAUUGGGCGUAAAGAGCUCGUAGGCGGUUUGUCGCGUCUGCUGUGAAAACCUAAGGCUCAACCUUGGGCUUGCAGUGGGUACGGGCAGACUAGAGUGCGGUAGGGGUGACUGGAAUUCCUGGUGUAGCGGUGGAAUGCGCAGAUAUCAGGAGGAACACCGAUGGCGAAGGCAGGUCACUGGGCCGCAACUGACGCUGAGGAGCGAAAGAGCAUGGGGAGCGAACAGG
rnacentral:rRNA from 1 species